rnacentral:tRNA from 1 species
GAGCCUGUGGUCCAGCGGCUAUGACAUCGCCUUCACACGGCGGAGAUCGCCGGUUCGAAUCCGGCCAGGCUCA